rnacentral:tRNA from 1 species
GCGCAUCUGGUGUAGUGGUAUCAUAGUACCCUCCCACGUUACUAACCAGGGUUUGAUUCCCUGGAUGCGCA